rnacentral:tRNA from 1 species
GGGGCUAUAGCUCAGUGGCAGAGCACUUGCCUGGCAUGCGUGAGGCUAUGGGUUCAAUCCUCAGCACCA